UUAAGGUGAAGAAGAUUGGACUCAUAUGGCUCAUUCCAGAAAAAUGAAGGAGAAUCAAAUUCAAGCGCUACUUGAUCUGGACCAGAUUCUCUUCCCACCAGGAGCAGAUUUCAUUCCACCACAUCUUUGCCAGCACUUGUUCCUGAUUUUUUCAAUGUCAGCCAUCUUCACAGAUAGUACGAUGACAAAGGGCAGAAUGAGAAAGAAUGAAUGUCCAUUGGAGAUUGUCGUUCCUGUUUGAAAAAAAGCAACACUACCAAAGUCAUUGACCCACUGAAUGCUUCACACUGUUUGCCUUUAUAAUAAUCAUAAAUGCUAUUGAAGGCUUUGUGAUAGCCCAAGGGAAAUUUUGUAUUCAGAUUAUGUGUCUUCUUAAAAAAUAAAAAAAAGGAAUUGUCUUUACCCAAAACAAAG